UACGUAGGGGCAAGCGGUUGUCCGGAAUCAUUGGGCGUAAAGCGCGUGUAGGCGGUCCGGUAAGUCCGCUGUGAAAGUCGGGGGCUUAACCCUCGGAUGCCGGUGGAUACUGUCGGGCUUGAGUACGGAAGAGGCGAGUGGAAUUCCUGGUGUAGCGGUGAAAUGGCGCAGAUAUCAGGAGGAACACCAAUUGCGAAGGCAGCUCGCUGGGACGUUACUGACGCUGAGACGCGAAAGCGUGGGGAGCAAACAGG
rnacentral:rRNA from 1 species